AGACAUUGCAGUUACAAAACUACUAAAACUUAUCCACAGCUAUACCACAUGAAGCUAUGCGGCGAUCCUGUCAGAUGUCUUAAGGCAAAGAGAACCAAGGUCGGGGAACCUCCAGGACCAUGCCACCAGGGAUCAGGAACUACAGAUGUCUGGAGCAGAUCACCGUCACCAGAUGAAUUGCAGAUGGGUGGCUGAUGUUCUCUCAAAGAACCACACAACUUGAACGUAGGAACACAGGCUGCCUCCUGAGCAGACAGCAACCUGUCACACUAUGUCAGCCCCCUUAUAUCAUGUCCUGUUACCAGGCAGAUUACUUAGGAUCAUGUGACCCUUUCCCGCUCUUUUGUCUGGGUUUCCCCCCUUUGCUCAGUUGCUGGGCAGGAUUACACAAACAUUAACCAAUCAAAAAUUGGACACCACAAAAAGGACGCCAAACCAAGCAUGAAGACAGUGCACCAAAAUGGAGGGUAGAAGACAGUGACAAAAAUAAAAUGGCUAAAACUCCCAACACAAGGGCUGAAUUGAAGAUUAGAUGCCACAAGUGCUCAACACAAAAAAUUGUACAGGGAGGACUAAUGAGGGUAACACUGAUAAGAUCAUGUGCUUGCAUAGCCUGCUGGUAGAUAGUGCACAAUUUGAUUCUGUUCAAAGGAAUUAAAUUAAUUCAACUUC